CGUCUCGCCCUCAUCGUCUGUUAGAAAAAGUUGUGUUGUGCUGUGUAAGUAUUGAGAUCAAAUGAAUGAAUAAUGAGAGUGUGGAUUGUAUUAACUGAGAUUUUGGACGGUGGCGUGAACGGUGUAGCCGCGGUCCAGAAGGAGGUGGACGAGCCAUGAACCGAUGGCGCCGCUGCCGCCGGUGACACACACCACCUUCUCCAUUUGGCAACUGUAUUCUAUCAACCUCCAGUUUUGUACUGUUCCAGUGUAAUCUGCUGAGGCAAAAAAUAAUUAUAAUUUGAAGUCAUAUCUGUACAAAAAAAUAUAUAUGAGUGGUGCAUAAUGAAUCUCAACACUCACAAAAAUCUCAUUAAAUUUUAUUAUUAUUAUAUUAUCAUCUUACAUGCACCAUAUCAGCAAAACCACAAAUUGCAUCACAUUUUGCAACAGAUGCAGGAAUUGAACCAGAAAUCAGAUGAUAGCAUAUACAAUGUUGUGAUGAAAAUUGGCAUGCUUAUUAUUAUUCAUUAAGCAAUAAUAUAUUAUAGAAGUAUUUUAAUCACUGGAUAUUGUUCUACUAGAUGUAAGAAACAGGUCAGUGACUUCUGUUGUUGAAAAAGUAGUAUAAUAGUUAUAAUAUAAUGUGAUUAAAAACCAUUUUUAUUGUUUUAAUAUACUGCUAAUACUACUAUAAUUAAUGUUAUAUUAAACGUUCAUAAUAUUAUUGUUACAACGUAAACCCACCCUUUAAUUGCAAUUUGUACUAUAUUAAAAUAUGAUGUCAACAUAUAUGUUAUUAUAUUAUUAAUGUUAUUAUCCUUUGGAUUUUUGUGUAUGUUUUUAUUUGGAUUUUCGUUUAUUCAAAAUUUUCAAGUAAAACAUUUAUUCAUUUGAGUGGAUUUUUUUAAAGGACUCAACUACGACCUGCUUCACGUGACAGAUGUUACACCUUAAGUACAUUACACCUUUAGCUCUCACAGUAUUCAAUUAACGCUUGAUUUAGCUUUCUGCAGUGUCUUUAUUCCUUAUCUUUCCUUUUGUCAUCAUUUUUAAUGUGCUUCUCUUACACUCUACUUCAUAAAGUUUAUAACCUACAACUUGCUUAAGCAACUUUCUUCUUACAUGGUUGUGCUCACACUUUACCUCAUUUGUCCUUCAUCGCAUCAGAAGUUCAGAUUGUUCACUUAUUUUUGUAAGACGUUAUUCAAAUUUUUGUUUCAAACUCUUGCAAUUUAAAUCGAUUGUUUUAUCCAAUGUUUUUUUUUUAUGGUUGUCUGUCCUUUUCAUAUCUUAUUUUCAACAAAAUGGCUUAUGAAGAACUUCUCCAUAUGUUGUUUGUUUUCACUUAUGGUUAUUGUUCUUUGUCUGCAUUCUAAUUUUUAAGUUUAAUUUUUAGUUAUCUUUAUAUUGGCAUUUCGGAUUAAAUGCAUCUUCAAUUAUUUUUGUAUGAUUUUUUUCCAUUGCUUACUUACUCUGUUUUCUAUUAAAAUUAAAACUUAUUACUUCUUUCAUGGUGGAUUUCAAGCUUUUGUGCUAAAGAAAUGACCUUUACAACUACAACAUCAGCUGUUUUCUAAAUACUUUUUGUUCUCGUUGUUUUUUUAAAAAAAUAUAAUACUAUUUAGGCAUGUAUUGUGCUCCGCUAGAUUUUAUUUAUGUGUUGUCUCAUAAAAGUCUUUCAUUUCACAGUAAAAUGUAUAGUGCAACUUAAAGAGAAAACCACUAUUUCGUUAUGUGUUCUUUUUCAUUAUAUUUUUCUCAAUUUUAUUCUAGUUGUUUUGUUUAACCUAUAUAUGCUUAUGUUGUUUUUAUGUUUUUCUUUUUUUUGUCAUAAGAUUUUGUAUUUAUGAACCUCUUAUUCAGAUUGUGUAACAUUUGAAUCUGGUUUGUUGCACACACUAACAUUGGCAGCUAAAACAAAGUUUUAUUGUUAGUUUAUAUUUACGAAUGUAUGUGUUCUUCUAUUUAUUUAUGUCCUUUCUUAUUUGACCUAUGUCUUUGACUAAUUGAUCAACACACCAAAUCUUCGCAACUACAAAAAUCUUUUAGUAUGCAAGAAUACAAUGUUGUUCCUUCUUCUUCACAAGUUUUAACAAAUUUGGUUUGCUUAUUUUGUUUUUAUGUAUUUUUGCUUUUUUUUUUAUAUGAUUAUGUAAUUAUGAACCUCUUAUGUUGUUGGAUGUCCAGAUUGUGUAACAUUUUAAUCUAAUUUGUUGCACACAAUUAGAUUGGCAGCUAAAGCAAAAUUUUAAUGUUAGUUUAUAUUUACGGAUUUCUGUGUUAUUCUAUUUAUUUAUGUCCUGUUUAUUUAACCUCUGGCUUUGAAGGAUUCAUCAACACACCAAAUAUUGGCAACUCCGUCAAGGAGAUACAUCCUAGAUUUUUUUUUUCUUCUUGUUUUCCAUGCUUGUAAUGCCCAACAUGAGUAUCUAAUUCUACCCUUUGAGAUUUGAGAUUUUCUCUUUAGUUGUUCCUCUACUCUAACACAAAGUUGAACUAAAUCAUUUAAAUCAUUAUAAGGAAAAAGUUCAACUUUAUCCUUAAUUUCAUAAUUAAGACCACUUUGGAAUCGAGCCCUAAUCCGUGCCCUUAACAUAAAUAACUCAAUUAUCUGCUUCUAUUGUUCUACAAUCAUGUUUAUAUGCGUUAACUUAUUGAGUUGUUUCAUCAACUCUCUAUCAUAUUAGGAAGGCUCAUACCUCUUCCUAAGAGCUGAUCUAAACUCAUUCCAAUACCUUAUUUAGGGAAAAUUAUGCAACCUAAGAUCUUUUGUAUAGGUGGUCCACCAAGUCAUGGUUGAAUCUUGAAAACUAAGGGUAGCUAAGGUAUCCCUCCUCUCAUGAUUUAUUUGGUGAGCCGAAAAAAAUUUCAACCUUCAUCUCCAAGGUUACGUAAUCUUCUAUAUUUGAUGAAAAAUGAAAAUAAGGAAGGUCAAUCUUAGGCUCUUUAGGCACAUGAUGGGCUCGAUGUCUAUGUUGUCUAGCAUUUUAUUGGUAGUAGUAUGUAUUGUGAUACCUACUAUAAUCAUAUUGGCUUUGGUAAGGGAUUGUAUGAUGAUUGCUUAUAUGUUUGUGAGAUCCCUCUCUUAGGAAAUCACAAAUUUAGAAAUUAUUUCUUUCAAUUCUGAAAAAUUCAUUUGCUUGUUUUGUUACUCUUUCAUAGACAUUAAAAGAAUCUUGAGUGUUUUGAUUACCAUGAACACUAGAUUGAUGUGAAGGAUCACCCAUUGUUGAAUUAAAAUAGAAAAAGUUUUCACAAAAAUUUACAAUUCAAUUGAGUGAUCAAAAUAUUUUUUGAAAAUAUUUUUUUAAUUUUUGGUGAAGUAAAUAGAUCAAGUAUGAGAGUUCUCCAAGUUCACUCCCACGAAAAGUGAGGUGAGUCACAAUGGACUACUUACAUACCAAGAGCUUAUCCCAAAUAAUUCUCAACAUAAGUUCCCUCAAAAUAAUUUUAGAAAUGAGAGUGGGUGUUUGAAUGUCGAAAUGAAACUAAAGAUCAAAGGAAGAUCUACUAAUAAGCAAAAAAAGAUAAAAAUCCUAUGUAUCACAGAUACUUAAAAGCAAGAAAAUAAAGGAAGGAAAUAAAGGAAGGAAAUAAAAGCAUGAAAUUAAAGCAAGAAAUUAAUGCUAGUGAAAAGUAAAUUAGCCGCAUCCUAAAGUUCAAGUGCAAUUGACACUAAGACUCCAGCAGCACACUUACACCACUAAUGCACAUGUAAUCUAAGAAUUUGAAGUAAAAUAAGUACAAAAGAAGAUGGACAACAAUAUAGAUAAAUAGUUAAGUGAAUCUCAAGAGAACAUUACAAAGAACUUACUUGAAAUGGACUUUAUUAAAAAUUUUAAUUUCAAGAAAUAUACUAAGUUAUGUUGGAGAUCCCACAUCGACUAGAGAUAAGGACAUUUCAUAAUAUAUAAAUGGGUGCAGACCUCAAUCUUAUGAGCCGGUUUUAUGGGGUUGAGUUAGCCUUAAAGUCCACUUCGCAAUAAGUUACUUUUAUACAUAUAGCUUAAUGAACAUAUCAAGGCAUAAGUAAGUAUAUUUGAUUAUUGUUAUAUAACAAAUUCAUUUGUAAUUCACAUUCCUAAAAGUAUUUACAAAAGAUUCGAAGUAAAGCAUGUCCUUAUCUCAAGAUGCACUACUUGUAAACAAAUAACCCAUCAUAUUCUACAUAUUCCUUUGACAAACUUGAUUACCCGAACUAGAAGUUGCUCAGUUGGAGAUCUCACAUCGACUAGGGAUUAGAGCCUUUUAUUGUAUAUAAAUGGAUGCAAACCUCAACCCUGUGAGCCGGUUUUAUGGGGUUGAGUUAGGCUUAAAGUCACAUCUCUAUCUUAGUGGAAAGUAUUGAAUAGAGUAUAAAUCAUAUACAUCUGUGUUAAAAUGAGUAUACAUCUAUAUUAAAAUGAGUGAUGUCAUUCAUACAUCUAAAGAAAUCAAUGUACAUUCUCAUUUCAUAAUAAAAAGAUAUGAAUGACAAUUACAACACAAAGACCCUACCUACCACGAGUUGGUCAUACUCUAAUCUACGCCCAUAAACUAUUUCCCGUGAGUUCUAGGCAUGGAGGCUUCUCAAUGUUUCAAGCUAUAAACAAAGACUGAGAAUUGUACACUCAAUCAUACAAUAAUAUAAAUAAAAACACAGGAAAAAUCAAUAUCCUCGCAUACAAUAACAUAAUCAAGAGGACAAAUUAUAAUAUACAUCAAAAAAUUAAUUUGGUGAAUUUAAAGACUCAACCAUACAUUCAAUCAAAUCAAAAUGUAUUUCACAAGUAUUAUUAUAGGAUAUGACAACCCAAACUAACAUCGUUUUCCUCCCUCAUCCAACGUCUACUUUCAUGACUUACUACUUAAAAGUACACCUUCAUUGAGAUUAUUUAAAAAAAAAACUUAAAUUGUUAUAUGAAGGUGCAUGGGGAAAAUAGAGAGUGGAGGAGAAUUUGCCAAACUAAUGCCCUUUUCUCUUUCCUUUUUUGUACGUAUGCAACACUUUAUAUUCUAAUUUUCAUGCACAUUUCAAUUCUUCACAAAUGACCUACAAACAAAUAGUGGUCCAUAUGCAUAAAACAAAAUGUAACUAGGGUUUCCAUUCGCAUGUAAACACCCCACGUUUUUCUUACUGUACCCAUAUAAAUUAUCCUUAUUAAUUUAUAAUAUUAUUAAUAAAUUGAAUUUUGAAAAAAUGAUUUUUCUCAUGAUUUAAAACUAAUUUGUUUAACAAUUUGAUACAUACAUUAUAUUAUAGUUAAUGAAAAUAAUAAUUAAUAACUAAAAUCUUAAUAACUAAUUAGAUACAAUUUAAAAAUUAUUUUAUAAUUUUUAUUAAUAAUAAAAACUAUUUAAAUACUAAUACUCAUUCAAUUAUAUCAAUUUCCUUCCAAAUCCUCCUCAUACAUAUAGUAAAGAAAUUGUUUUUCGUUUUCCAUGUUCUUUACACGUUUUCUAUUAAUUUCUUUGUGGACAAUAAGUUUAAGCAUUCCAUCUUCAUUUUGAAAAAAGAAACAAACAGGUGAGAGCUACUCAUACGCAAGUUCCUUUUUCAUACUAUUAGAGAAGUGUAGAUUAUGUCAUAGAAGAGCGUCUAAAGGUAACAGAGAUACAAAAAUGUGAAGACAACACAGAAACAUGACAGAAAUAGAGAUCCACCCAUGAACUAAAAUUAGGUAGAAAAUGUUUUACAAAGAUGUCUCUCGUCACUUGUUUUAGAACAAUGCAAACAUAACAACAACCACACCAACAAAUAUAACAGAUUAACAACAACAGGAAUUUGCACCAAACAUAUGUGCCAUAAGGACUCAUAUUGCAGCAGCAAUUAUGGAAGGAAUCCUUUUUUCUUCAAAUCCUCUACAGAAUCCUUAAUAAUCUCCUCAAUUGGAGUGAUUUGCAAACCCAAAUCCAUAAGUUUCUUUGAUCCAUCCUUCACUCUCAAUAAUCCUGGUUGGGUAUCUCGUUGCAUCCUUUCAAGCAAAAUCACAAAAUACAUCAUUCGCAACUAAGUUAUGCAUUAACAAUAGAUGUAUGAAGUGUGUGGGUAACUUACUUAGGCACAUUGUACUCUGGAUAAAGUUCACCAACUUUGGCCGCAAAAUCACCAAAGUGAGAGAUAGAUUCAACACACACAUGCCUACCAACUGCAGAUUUGUUCUCAUACACCAAAAUAUGUGCCAAUGUUACAUCCUUCAAGUGGACCGAUCCCAUAUAAAUGUCCUCGUAUGUUUCAUCAGAACCUGCGACGCGACAUACAAAUUUGUCUCAAAUUAUCAGUAAUUCCCCUAAAAAAAUCAUAACUUGGGGAGUUUGAUAUUAGUAUUCGAGUCAACAAUUAUACUGUGCAAAAUCUAAUGAAAAGAGUAUAGCACAAUCAAACAAGUCUAAUACUUUUCACGAAGGCAUCAAGUUCUAAAUAUCCUACACAGCUACACCAUCAACUACACUGUCGCAGGUCUUAGAAAACAUAUAAAAUAAUAAUAAAAUAAAAAUAUGAAUAAUAAAUUAAUAACAUAAUAAUAAUUAAAUAAUUAAAAUAAUAAUAAAUAAUAAACAAUAAUAAUGUUGGAGAUCUCACAUCGACUAAAGAUUAGAGUCUUUCAUUGUAUAUAAGUGGGUGCAAACCUUAAAUUUAUGAACUUGUGAGUCAUUUCAUUGUAUAUAAAUAAAUGAAAACCGAUUUUAUGGAGUUGACUUAGACUUAAAGUUUAUUUUGUAAUAAAUAAUAAAAAUAACUGAUAGUAAAAAUAUUAAAAUUAAAAUUAUAAACUAAUUAUAAUAUUAUAUUUUUUAUUUAAUUAAAUUAGUUUAUAAUAAUAUAAAUUAAUUAAUUAUUAUAUAUAUUAUUUUUAAAUUUUUUAAAAUUUAUUAUAUUUAUCAAAUUAGUAAUAAACUUAAUUCAAAAAACUUCAUUUUACUCAACUCCUCAAAUUCCCAGUAUCAAAUUUACUCUCCAUUUGAAAAAAACCCAACUUGAUACAAUGAGUUUAAAAAUAACUAUCUAAAAUAAAGAAUAAAUUUAUACUUAUAUAAUAUAAAAAAUAUAUAUUAAAAUAAUAAUAUUGAAAAUUGUAUAAAAAUACUGCAUUGUAUGAUUAUAUGAUUAACCCAAAAGAUAAAGCAUUCUCAAGCUUUUUGGGUAGUAGAAGAUUUCUUGAUACCAUAUUAUAAUAAUAUAAUAAUAUUUUAAAUUAAAAAUAAAUUAAAUAUAAUUAAAAUAUUAUUUUAAGGAUUUGUCAAGUGGAUUUUUUUAUUAUUGUAUGACCACCCAUUUUAGAACUUUUCCAGUUCACAUUUCCAAUAUUGAAGGAAACUCCUGCUGCAAAAAUAGAAAGAAAUAUUUGGAAAAUCCAACUGAUUAAGCAUUAGUGUCUCUACCUUGAAGAAGGCGCAAGAGCAUGAGCAUGCUUGCAUUAAGCCUGGGUGAAAUAAUCGGACCCAUCACAGUGCCAGGAUUCACUACAACAACAUCCAACCCACUCUCCUUUGCAAAUUCCCAAGCUGCUUUCUCCGCCAAAGUCUUCGACAAUGGAUACCACAACUGUUGCACACACAAACACUUCACACACCAACACAUAUAAGAAAAAGAAACAGAAAAUGAAAAAAAUGAAACCCUUUCUAACCCCUUUUUGCUUGCAAAAUUCAACGUCAGCCCAGCAGUCCUCCCUCUUUGGAACAUCACCGGGCCAACUGGGGCUCGGAAUAAUCGCCGAGACGGAGGACGUGACCACCACGCGACGCACUCCUGCUUCUUUCGCUGCCGUUAAUACGUUCACGGUACCCUUUAUCGCCGGGUCCAGAAGAUCCUUCUGCAUGAAGACUCAAAUGGGAUGAUGAAAAAACCCAAAAGAUUGAAAAUUUGUGAAGAGAUCGAGGAAACAAGACCUGGGGAUCCGAGACUUGAUCAACAAUGCAGGGAGAGGCGAGGUGGAAAACGCCGGCGCAGCCGCGCAUGGCAGCGAGUACGGAGUCAUAGUGGAGGAGCUCCAUCUGAAAGAGGCGGAGGCGCUCCGACGCUCCAUCCAAGUCUUGUAGAUGCUUUGUCUCGGCCUCAUCGUCUGUUAGAAAAGUUGUGUUGUGCUGUGUAAGUAUAUAUUGGGAUGAAACGAAUGAAUAAUAAAAGUUUGGAAUGUGCUAACUGAGAUUUUGGACGGUGGCGUGAACGGUGUAGCCGCGGUCCAGAAGGAGGUGCACGAGCCAUGAACCGAUGCCGCCGCUGCCGCCGGUGACACACACCACCUUCUCCAUUUUGCAGCUGUAUUCUAAGAUGCACUACUUGAAGAACUCCACUGUACUAAGAUAAUGAUGACACGUGUAAGAGAGGAAGAAACAAAGAAAACGAAAGACAGCCACAGAAAGAACAGAGAAAAAAUGAAAACGACGUUCAGAUAAAAGGCAAAAAAUGACCGAAGCAAACAGUUCCAAACAGCAAAAUAUUAGGUUUUAUUUUUUAGUGACUAAAUUAAUAUUGAAUUAUAAAUUUUUAAAGAAUACUUGUAUAAUGUAAUUGUCAUAUUUCUCUAUUAUGUAGAAUUGUAGUGAAAUGGAGGUUAAAUAAUGGUGCCCAACUUGCUAGCUGAAGGUUUUAAAAGGCAAGGAAAAAAUGAUAGCAAAUUAACCGUCAUGUACAAAAAAAGUGGUGGUCCCACAAUCACAAAAAUAGCAUAUAAAUUAAAUAAAAGAACUGACACGUAGAGUUUAGUGUAAUUUGAUGAUUUAUUUAUAAAUUAUUAUUUAUGGUUAUUUUACUGAUUUUUGUAAUAAGUAUUUGAUAUAGUUUAGGAGAGGAUAUGGUAUGCUUUAAUAAGAGGAUUUGAGCACACUUAAGCUUAAAUGAGUGUAUAUAAGCAACAAAAGAAAGAAAAAUAAAUCUAUACAAUUGUUGGAUCAUUCCAAGACUCAAUCAUAGAGGAACACAAACUCAUAGUAGAUAAUUUUUUCUUUUCAUUAAUUUAAUUUCCAACUCAUUGAGAUAAUUAUAAAAGCGUUUCUAUCCAUAACAUUAUGACAAAAUGUAGAGUACACCUUAUUUUCUUAAUAUAUAUAAUUUGACUUUUAUUAACCAAGUGGGCUUCUUCAAUGCCUAAAUCAUUUUAAUAUUUGGCUCCAUUAUUGUGUACCUGUUUCUCAUUUUCUGGUUCUUAUCUCAGACCAACUAAAGCCCACCACGUAUCGUUUCCCAAUUUUUACUUUAUGCAUAUGGACCCGCUUUUUGUUUGUUGCUAUUUUACUUUAUUCCUUUUCAUUUUAUUUUUAAUUCAAAAUAUUAUUAUAUUAUUAUAAGUGUUUGUUAAGUGUAUCUUAUUUACUGUUUUUUAUUGUUUAUGGUUUUAAAGAAACUUUUCUCUUUUGUCAUACAUUCACAUGGGGAGUGCUCAUUUGUUUGCAUGAAAAUUGAAAUACUAAGAGUUGCAGAUGUACAAGAAAGAAAGAGUAGCUCUAAACAAAGAAUAACUUUAUUUUUUAAAAUAAUUUCAGUAACAUUCUUAUAACUUUCUUUUAUUUACAGUACUUUCAUUCUUAUGUCGUAAAAUUAGAAAAAGUAGUUUUUUAUCAAUCAAUAUCGAACGGGUGAGUCAUUUAGUUUCGGAAAUCGAUCAACUGCGUUAAAAUACAUUUAAUACACUCAAUAAAUGACUAUUGUUACAAUUAUGAAAACUUCCGACAAAUCAAAGUCAUAUUCCAUCGAAUUUGGGUGACACCCCCAAGAAAAUAGCUAAUAUUGAUUUAUUGAAGAUAUUCUCCAAAUAUACAUCUCUAUAAUUCAAGGAAUCCCCUAAAAAGCCACUUAACACUGAUAUUUGAUAAAUGCGGUUCAUCACACAAAAUGACUCAUGACUAAACAUUAUAAAUAAAUAUUUUACAAAAGAGGAAUGUAUGUUUUUUAUCAGUUUCACUAUACACUCUUAACACAAGGUACUCACUUGAUCGUCGAAAAAUCUUUUGCAAGUUAACUCCUAAUCGACUAUUGAGAAAUUGAGGAUAGGGAGUCUUGAAGUUUGAAGGAGUGAAGUACUAAGGAGCAAGGGAGGGACCGACAACCAAAACAAUUGUUACAGUCAAUCCCAUGUACUAUUUAUGCUCACUUUGUCAAUACAAGUACAAGUUCCAUCAUUUCAACGUGUGUAAGAGGCUUGACGAGAAGAUUUGUUGUAUUCGACAUUCCCCAAUGCGAAGAUAAUUUUUUUUUUUUAGUUUUAUACUUCAUUUUUGCACAUCAUUUUUUUAUGAAUUUUGUGGCUUCCAAAAAAAGAAAAAAAAUAAAUGAAUAAAAACACAGUCACCAUGAGCAAUCACCAUCACUUGAAAAUGAAGAAGACACAACACUCUCCAUCAAAUAUUGUUGGAAUUAAAAAAGAGUAUGGAAGUGGAGAAUGAAGGUACGGAGAUGCAAGGAGAAUUUGCCAUCAAUUUUGUGCAUAUGGGAUUACUUUUUGCAUCACAUUUUGGUAUCACCCUUCCUUCAUAGGUGUUUCUUUCUGCACCUCUACAUUUUUCUUCUUGCACCUCUACAUUUUUCUUCUUGCACCCCUACAUUCAUGUGUAAUUACAAAGUAUCUCUAAGACAUCUAAAAAAACCCAAAAGGAGCAUAUCUCACUCUUUCUUUCUUCCUUUUCUACAAUUGUUGUGCACCUUGUUCAAGGAGCGAACAAAGGACAAUAAGUGGUAAUGCAUUGGGAUGUUGUUGGUGGUUCAUUUUCUGAAAUCUUGAUGGUGGUUAGAUGAUUUCUAAGAUGACUCUGUAUUAAGAAAAGAAGAUAAGUAAUAUUAUUUUUUGUUUACACUGUAUUGAGAAAAGAAGAUAAGUAAUAUUAUUUUUUGGUUACAUAUUGGAUGUUUAAUUUUUUAACUAAUUUUGAAUUCCGUAAUGCAACUUUUAGGAUUUCAGAGACAAGUGAGUCCGUAAUAGAGCACAUUGAUCCAAGAAUUAACUAGAUUGGUGUAUUUGUGUGGUUAUUUACACUUUAUAAACAUGGUUGUAAUUCCUAGCUGUAAUGGCAAAUAGAAAACUCUUGUAGCAGCCAAAUGGAUCCAGACUUUUUUUGUAAAAAACGUGGUGCCCCACUUGCAGCAAACAGAAAAUAACGAGUAAAUAAAAAAAUAGGGUUUGCAGGAAAUAUAGAAAACAAUGAGGAAAGAAAAGAAUGGCAUGUGAAGGCACUGUAAGGAAGGGUGAUGCCACAUCGUGAUCAGAAUGAGUGGUUGUGAUGGAUGAAUGAAUAAUUAAGAUUCCUUCACAUUCUAAACAGUAUCUCACUUUCAUUCUCUAACCAUUUAUAGUAAUAUCCCCACGUAUUCUUUCUUCUUUUAUAACAAAAACAAAAACAACCACCCCUUUUCUCUUUUCUUUUUUAAUUUACUACUUUUAAUAUUAUUAUUUUAAUAUUUUUUUAUAUCAUUUAAUUAUAAAUCAUUCUUUUAUUCUGCUCUCCAUGUGAAUGUUUGAAGAGUAAAUCAUCUAGGUGUCAAAAAGAACAUUGACAUAUUGGUUUAUAAUUAAAAAUUCUUGAUUCUACAUAUUUUUAACUUUGAGUAGGAAGUUGAUGUUAUAUUAUUAUGUUUAUAUUUAUUAGUUCAAAUUUAAUUGAAUUGAAUAACUGAUUUUUUUCUUUAAUUUAUAAUAGAAUUAAACAAUUAUUAAAAUAAUUCAUAUUUAUUAAAACUAACCACACCAACAAAAGUUUAACGAUACAUAUGAUAGUGCCUCAUUUUAGAACUAAGAGGAAUUUGCAGCAAACAUGUGGCUUUUAGGACUCGUAUUGCAGCAGCAAUUAUGCAAGGAAUCCUUUUUUCUUCAAAUCUUCUACAGCAUCCUUAAUAAUCUCUUCAAUUGGAGUGAAUUGCAAACCCAAAUCCAUAAGUUUCGUUGAUGCAUCCUUCACUCUCAGUAAUCCUGGUUGGGUAUCUCGUUGCAUCCUUUCAAGCAAAAUCACAAACUACAUCAUUUACAAGUACGUUAUGCAUUAACAAUACAUGUAUGAAGUGUGUGGGUAACUUACUUAGGCACAUUGUACUCUGGAUAAAGUUCACCAACUUGGGCUGCAAAAUCACCAAAGUGAGAGAUAGCUUCAGCACACAGAUGCCUACCAACUGCAGAUUUGUUCUCAUACACCAAGAUAUGUGCCAAUGCUACAUCCUUAAAGUGGACCGAUCCCAUAAAAAUGUUCUCAUAUGUUUCAUCAGAACCUGCCACGCCACAUACAAAAGGUCACAAAUUCUCAGUAAUUCCCCUAAAACAUCAUAAAUUGGGUAGUUUCAUGUUAAUAUUCCGGUCAACGAUUAUAGAUUAUAUGGUAAAAAAUUUAAUAAAAAAAAAGUGUAGUGAUUUUCACGAAUUAUAAAUGUCCUACGCAUCUAUACCAUCGACCAAGUUGUAGCAGGUCUUGUGAAAUUAGUCUAAUAGUUAGGUAACAACAACAGUAGCCCUAUUCACAUUAUACCAUUUUAAUCAGUUAAAAAUGUAUGCAUCAUUCAUCACAAGAUCCCUAACAUGGUGUUAAAUAGUGGUAUGCGACUAUGACUUUAGUGGUUCCGUCCACAGAUUUGGACGGAUGAAUACAAACAGAAAGCAUGAAAAUCAAAAGUAAAAAAUUGUUAGAUUCUUUCCUCGCAUAGCUGUGAGGAGUAGCAAAGAAAGUUGAAUAAACAUUAUAAUCAUAUAUUUACAAUAAAAUAUAUAUUCUAUAACGGAUCAUUACAUAGUCUGAUGACAUAUAUUUAUCAAAUAAUCCAUUUUUUUAAUAAUAUAAUUGAUUAUGGAAUAUACAUGUUAUUAUAUUUUUAUAUAAUUAUUAUAUUAUAUAUAUACACUAAAAAAAAUAUAAAUAUAGUAAAAAAAAUAAUUAGUUGUUAUAAUAACUAAAUUAGAAAUUAUUUUAAAAACUAAAAAAAAUAAUUUUUAAAUUAGUUUAUAUUAUUAUUAAAUAGUUUUGUAAUUUGUAUUUAAUUAGCUACCAAGGUUUUAACUCCCAAUUAUUUAAUUUCUAAAUUUGGUCGUAAAAAUUUUGGUUGCUAAUUAAAUACUAAUUUAAAAAUUAUUUAAUGAUAAUACAAACUAAUUUAGAAACUAAAGUUUUUUUUUCUCUAAAAUGAUUUAUAAUUUAGUUACUAUAUCAACUAAAUAUUUUUUAUUCUCUAAACAUAGUUUUCUAUUUGAUGUUUUUUUUUAGUGAUAUUAUUAAUUGAUUAAUAUUUGUAUUUUUAUUCUAAACAUAAUUAAUUAUACAAUAUAAUACAAUGUAAUAAUAAUAAGUAGUCAAACAAUAAAGAAAUAUAAAAUAAUAAUAAUAAAAUAGUCUCUACCUUGAAGAAGGUGCAAAAGCAUGAGCAUGCUUGCAUUAAGCCUCGGUGCAAUAACCGGACCCAACACCAUCCCAGGAUUCACUACAACAACAUCCCACUCACUCUCCUUUGCCAAAUCCCACGCUGCUUUCUCGGCCAAUGUCUUCGACAAUGGAUACCACAACUGUUGCACACACAAACACUUCACACCCCAACACAUAACAAAAACAAACACAAAAUUCAAAAAAUGAAAACCCUUUCUAACCGCUUUUUCCUUGCAAAAUUCAACGUCAGUCCAGCACUCCUCCUUCUUUGGAACAUCACCGGGCCAAUUGGGGCUCGGAACAAUCGCGGUGAUGGAGGACGUCACCACCACGCGACGCACUCCAGCUUCUUUCGCUGCCGUUAGCACGUUCACGGUGCCCUUUACCGCCGGGUCCAGAAGAUCCUUCUGCAUGAAGACCCAAAUGGGAUGAUGCAAAAACCCUAAAGAUUGAAAAUUUGCAAGAAGAUCGAGAGAACAAAACCUGGGGGUCCUGGACUUCAUCAACAAUGCAGGGAGAGGCGAUGUGGAAUACGCCGGCGCAGCCGCGCAUGGCUUCGAGUACGGAGUCGUAGUGGAGGAGCUCCAUCUGGAAGAGGCGGAGGCGCUCCGACGCUCCAUCCAAGGCUUUUAGAUGCUUUGUCUCGGCCUCAUCGUCUGUUAGAAAAGUUGUGUUGUGCUGUGUAAGUAUAUAUUGGGAUGAAACGAAUGAAUAAUGAGAGUGUGGAAUGUACUAACUGAGAUUUCGGACGGUGGCGUGAACGGUGUAGCCGCGGUCCAGAAGGAGGUGGACGAGCCAGGAAGCGAUGGCGCCGCUGCCGCCGGUGACACACACCACCUUCUCCAUUUUGCAACUUAAUUCUAACACGAAAACGAUCACUAGAGACUUGAGAAGUCCACUUUGAAAUCAAGAGAAGAAGAAAGAAACAAGUGU
rnacentral:lncRNA from 1 species